rnacentral:rRNA from 1 species
CGUGUAGGCGGUUAGUUAAGUCUGAUGUGAAAGCCCCGGGCUCAACCUGGGAAGUGCAUUGGAAACUGGCAAACUUGAGUACGGGAGAGGGAAGUGGAAUUUCGAGUGUAGGGGUGAAAUCCGUAGAUAUUUGAAGGAACACCAGUGGCGAAGGCGGCUUCCUGGACCGAUACUGACGCUGAGACGCGAAAGCGUGGGUAGCGAACAGGAUUAGAUACCCUGGUAGUCC